rnacentral:rRNA from 1 species
CGAAUCUUCCGCAAUGCACGAAAGUGUGACGGAGCGACGCCGCGUGUAGGACGAAGCCCUUCGGGGUGUAAACUACUGUCAGGGGAAAGAAAGUUCUGAUCUACCCCAGAGGAAGGGACGGCUAACUCGGGGCCAGCAGCCGCGGUAAGACAGAGGUCCCGAGCGUUAGGCGGAAUCACUGGGCUUAAAGCGUGUGUAGGCGGAUGCCUAAGUACCUUGUGAAAUCCCACGGCUCAACCGUGGAACUGCUUGGUAUACUGGGUGUCUUGAGCCACUUAGGGGCUACCGGAACAAAUGGUGGAGCGGUGAAAUGCGUAGAUAUCAUUUGGAACGCCAAUGGUGAAAACAGGUAGCUGGGAGUGUGCUGACGCUGAGACACGAAAGCCAGGGGAGCGAA